rnacentral:rRNA from 1 species
ACUAGAUCUAGCCCUAACACAUUCCAACAUAACUACUUACAGUGAUAAAACAAAACAUUUGACAAAAGAAAGUAUUGGAGAAAGAAAUCUAUCUUAGGAGCUAUAGAGAAAGUACCGCAAGGGAAAGAUGAAAGAACACUUAAAAGUAAAUAAAAGCAAAGAUUAAACCUUGUACCUUUUGCAUAAUGAGUUAACUAGAAAACAUCUAACUAAGAGAUCUUUAGCUAGAUACCCCGAAACCAAACGAGCUACCUAAGAGCAGUAUGAAUGAACCAACCCGUCUAUGUAGCAAAAUAGUGGGACGACUCCUAGGUAGAGGUGAAAAGCCUACCGAGCUUGGUGAUAGCUGGUUACCCAAUAAAGAAUUUUAGUUCAACUUUAAGAUUACCGCAAGAAAAAACAAUCAAAAUGUAAUCUUAAAUUUUAGCCUAAAGAGGGACAGCUCUUUGGGAAGGGAAACAACCUUUUAUAGUGAAUAAACCUUAUAAUAUAAAAACCAUUGUUGGCCUAAAAGCAGCCAUCAAUAAAGAAAGCGUUAAAGCUCAACACUAUAAACCCUCUAAUACCUUAAACUCCAAUGAAUUCCUAUAAAUACUAAUUGGGUUAAUCUAUAACUAUAUAGAUGAAAUACUGUUAACAUGAGUAACAAGAACACUGUUCUCCAAGCACAAGCCUAUAACAACCCGGAUAACCAUUGUUAGUUAACAUUCACAGGUGAAAACCCCACCAAUAAAAUUAACCUACACCUAAAAUGUUAAUCCAACACAGGCGUGCAGCAAGGAAAGAUUAAAAGAAGUAAAAGGAACUCGGCAAACAAGAAUCCCGCCUGUUUACCAAAAACAUCACCUCCAGCAUAGUAAGUAUUGGAGGCACCGCCUGCCCAGUGACAAACGUUUAACGGCCGCGGUAUCCUGACCGUGCAAAGGUAGCAUAAUCACUUGUUCCUUAAUUGGGGACUGGAAUGAAUGGCCUCACGAGGAUUCAACUGUCUCUUACUUCUAAUCAGUGAAAUUGACCUCCCCGUGAAGAGGCGGGGAUGCCAUAAUAAGACGAGAAGACCCUAUGGAGCUUUAAUUAACUGGCUUAACUAUCUUACCACAUACCCUAAUGGAACAAACAAAAAGCAAAUAAGCCAGUAAUUUCGGUUGGGGUGACCUCGGAGAAUAAACUAACCUCCGAACGAUUAUAACCGAGACCUACAAGUCAAAGUACUAAAAAUCAAAUUGACCCAAUUUAUUUGAUCAACGGACCAAGUUACCCUAGGGAUAACAGCGCAAUCCUAUUCAAGAGUCCAUAUCGACAAUAGGGUUUACGACCUCGAUGUUGGAUCAGGACAUCCCAAUGGUGUAGCAGCUAUUAAUGGUUCGUUUGUUCAACGAUUAAAGUCCUACGUGAUCUGAGUUCAGACCGGAGCAAUCCAGGUCGGUUUCUAUCUAUUUACUAUUUCUCCCAGUACGAAAGGACAAGAGAAAUGAGGCCUCCUUUAUCAAAGCGCCUCAAAACUAAUAUAUGAAAUUAUCUCAAUUUAGUAAGUUUGUCCCACAACACCCUAGACAAGGGUUU